AUUACCCAGGUGGCAUCCUCUGCAAAGAGAAUGACAUGAACUGCCAGCUCUGACUUGUGUGAGCUGGAGCUACCUGACGGACCCCAAGCCUUGUUGAUCCUCAGUCAGUAGAGAUAUCUUCCAUCAGUGGAUACUGCAAAGGAAGUAGUGGAGUCUAGCAUCAUGAAAACAGGAAAAAAAAGAAAGAGAAAGCUUCAGCUGAAGACCAAGUAAAAGUAAAGAUGGAUAGGUGAAUAAAAUGACAAGUCAGCAUGAAAAGCAAGCGCUGACAAGGAAGGUACCUUGGCAUGUGGUCUUGGACAGCACAUCCUGUGCAGAAGGGGCAGCAUGGAAGGUGAUGCUGAGGCACCUGUAUGGCUUUGAAGAAGGAGACAGGACAUAAGGACAGAUUGGAAUGCACACGGCCAGUAUGAUGUGAGUUCAAAAUGUGGGCUUGCUGUGAAGGGGCCAGAAUUAGUUUCAAAUGACAUCAUUUUAAUUACCGAUUAUAUUUAGAAUAUGUGGUAAUAUCGUCUGAGACCUUACACAUGUUAAUUCUGCAAAUUGCAGUAUGUAUCUACAGCUUGUGAAAGCAAAUCUACCUAGGAAUAUUU
rnacentral:lncRNA from 1 species